UAGUUUUUUUUCUUCCACUUUGAGUUCCCCAAAAUUUUGAGGUUCUCUCUCUGAUUCAAGUCAUUUUUCAAAUUUAAUUUCUCUUCUCACCUUUGGAAACCUAAUAAUUUUAUUUUUAUUUCACGCUUCUAUGGUUUGAUGCGGGAUGGGGAAUCGCGUAAGACCUUGUUCUUGUUAUUGGGCUGAAUGGCGUUAGUGGUAAACAAUUCAUUUCUGAGUAAUGCCGCGAUGCAAACCGGACGGAUUUGGACGUUGCAUUGCUUGGAAGUGGAUUUAUUUGCUCAGCUUCUGGUGCAAAUGCCAAGUGAAUGUGCAGAAAAAAAUCUUCAUUCAGGUAUGUUGCUCAUGAUUGACUGUAUUAUUGCGGACCAACAGUUUCAAUACUUUGAUAGCCUGUCCGUGUUAGCUCAAAGACAGUGAAUAAAUAGUGUAUUACAGUUUACAGCCACUUACUUUUGCGGUUUACAACAUGUUAAACACGUUGAAUUACAAUGUACUGCUAAAACUUGUCUACAACAAACUAUAUAUAAGUCCAUCACAUCACCUUGUAAUGAAACUCUCUCAUUCUUUCAUUCUUUUCCUCAUUGCUUAAAACUAAAUCGUCAAACUGAAUAAGAAAGCCUGGUUACUUCGCUGGUGAUCGAUUCUCUACUCAUUACUACUCCAUUGAUCAAAAUCAUUAAAUUAAAAGAAAUGGAUUUCUCAAGUACAUGUUUCAUAAAUGGUUUAUAAGAAGAAGUAGUGUACUGCUUGUACUCACCUCUGAAUGUUUGUUUGACUUCUGGAGAUUUGCAUAAGAGAGACGUUACUCAACCCGGUCAUUUCUUUGAUGCUUUUGGAUGGGCGUAACUUUCUUUAUCAUCUUAUGUUCUGUCUGAGUUUUAUCUGUAUUGCUUCUAGUUUUCAGAAUGAAUAAAAUCUCCCAAGUAGGAUUAAACCUACGACCAAUCAGUUAACAGCCGACCGCUCUACCACUGAGCUACUGAGGAACAAUGGGAACUCGAACAAUGAAAAAUCAACAAGUGAAUUCCGUCAACGUUUAUUGAUUUUGGUAUUUCUUUCAAGUAUGAUAUAUUGUUAGAACCUGUAGAGAGUCAUCAUAAUGAUGUUAAGGCUGCAAUCUUGGAAAGCAGGAAUAAUGUAACACAAGAACUCCAAUGGGGUGCUUCAUUCAUCCAAGUAAGUUUAUGAUGAAUUCAGUUCGGUUGCAAGAAUAUCAUGAAUAUGGUAUUUGAUUUGUUAGGGUUAAUAUCAAUUUCAGUCUUUUUUGGCUAUUUUGAUGACUGUAGAAUAUCAUGUUUCAUAAAUGAUAUAGGUCUAUCAGUUGUGGAGUUUUGUGCAAGUUCUCGUGACGUUUAAACUCAGAUAAAGUCUUGUCAAAAUACGCUAUCUAUUUCCAAACUGACACUUGAAGCUUAAUCCUAACAUUAAGAACUGUUCACCCUUGUAGUAACUUCCUCGCAUCUUUUCUUCUAAUACUUAGAUACAGAUCUGUACACUAAAUCUAGGUGAUGUGCUAGUGUACAGUUGACAUAUACAAUAGUUCUAUAGAAAGGAAACAAGAUGGAUAAUAAGAUUUAGAAAGACGUUGAGGCGAUGCGAAAGCAAAGUGCUAGGGAAAUAACUGAUAAACAUAACUAAACAUAACCCGUAGCUUGUAUGAGUUAACAAAUCAUGAUAGUCAAGCUGAGAAGUGCUUAAUUGGCAAAGCAACUCUUUGACGGAUGAAGAGCUUAAAGUCCUGAAGGAGGUUUAUCGUCAAGCUAUGAAGCUUGGAGUGGAGGUUUAUGCCUACUAAACUCAUCCCUGUAUCACUCAUGCAUGAUUGUGAGGAACAACUUUUUUUUUUUUUUUUUUUUUUUUUUUCUGAUUUUUAACUUUACAUGCUCGAAUGUGGAUUUUUUGCACUCGUUAGUAAAAUGACAUUGUCAUCUACCCCAGAGAAGUCAAUAGUUGCACAGCCUCCUCAUCCUGAUGUUUAUCACUAUGGAGUAUAUAGCAUGGCUUAACACUUUAAAUGUUAGUAAAUACAUAGCUGCGGCCUGAGGGAUUUGUCUAUGACAGACAUUGCAAAGUACUUGAGCUCUCAGUUAUCGAUGAAAAUGGUUCAAGAAUAGUCGAGACAGGUGUCCUGAAGGGUCUAAGCUUGUCAUGAAUGAAGUUCGUCGGGAAAAACAUGUUUCUCCAUUAUGGUUGUAUGAUUUUUUUUUGAAAAGGUCUUUAUGAACACAGCACUGAAUGCAUCAGUCGUUAUGAGGAUCUAUAGAGGUCAGCACUUCCAGGUUAAUCAGACAGGUUGAACUUAUAUGACCCAAAGAAGAAAAGGUCUAGAGACUUGAAUGCCGUGCAGGGAGAAUAAUGGAAAAAGCAGUGAGUUUCACCUAACUCGGGUACUUACUUGCAUGGAGAAAACGUAUUGAAGGUUUGAUGCUAAUAUGAGUUCUAGAAAAUGACUUCAAAAUAUAGGUUUUUAUUUUUUUCAUUUCCGAAUCGUUUUUGUUCAUUUGGUGUGUUUAUUGUAGCACAUCUUAUGUGAAACUGUUCCGCACCUUAUAUAAAUUCUUAUCCUUGUUGUUUAUGUAAUUGAUUUUAUUUGCAGUCA